AUGCACAGAAUCAGGAAAUGGCGAUAUUAACUGUACUGACGGAUGUUUCACGGGACACCAAGGUUUGAGCUGCAACACACCAUGUGACAGACAAUGGGGUAGCUGCACAGCAUGUCCAGGUGGUUGUGAUGGAGGAUAUUGUCAGCUGGGCUCAUCCUGUGUGUCUGGAUGCAUAGACUCCUACUACGGGUCUGACUGUAAGUCGUGUUCCAAACUAUGCAAGAUCUGCAACAGAUCGACAGGGGGAUGCAUUGAAUGCCAUCCUCCAUUUGAGGGGCAGAACUGUGGAUGUGAAAACUGCACUGGAUCUGGCGAAGAUUGUAAGGAGGGAGGCUGUAAGAAUGACCCACAAGGUAAUGGUGAUCUGACUAGGACUGUACUGACUGGGCUGUUGGUGUCACUAGUACUACUUGUGUCCGGCAUCUUGGUGACACUUUGCCUGCAAGCGUUUGCCGAAACAAAGGGAGCAGGUUGAACAGAGGGAACAGAUGCGUCAAGAUGAGGUGGCCUAUCUGGAGUAUUUACCGUCAGUGCAGGGCGAUAUCAUCACUACUAACCGACAUUCCGAUCACGCCUAUUAUGAUGUUGUGGAUGGUGAGAUGGGUCCCACCAUUGUUUUCCUCUGACAAUGUAUUAUUCCCAUCUAUGAUACUCACAGUUUGAUAAGGAUCGCCACUGUAAAACGUUAGCUUCAAAGUGUUAGCUUCAAAUGAAGUGAGACGAUUCUGUCACGAUUCAUCAACAGGACUGUGUCCAGCACCACGGGCUCAUCGUCCUCAUAACAACGUGCGCCUGCUAUCACACCGGUUAAUUGUGUAUCGGGAUUUAACCUAAGUCUGUAUACCCCUUUGUAUGCCUUGAAAAUGUGAUCCUUAGCGAAACAGUAGUAUACGUACAACUGAAUCAAGCUUUCAAAUUCAGAGGCAACAGUUUGGAAUAAAACACUGACUUCUUUGAUGACACAGUA